UACGAAGGGGGCGAGCGUUGUUCGGAUUUACUGGGCGUAAAGGGCGCGCAGGCGGCUCAUUUUGUCAGGCGUGAAAGCCCCGGGCUUAACCUGGGAACUGCCUUUGAUACUGGCGAUCUCGAGUCCGGGAGAGGUGAGUGGAACUGCGAGUGUAGAGGUGAAAUUCGUAGAUAUUCGCAAGAACACCAGUGGCGAAGGCGGCUCACUGGCCCGGUACUGACGCUGAGGUGCGAAAGCGUGGGGAGCAAACAGG
rnacentral:rRNA from 1 species